AUGGCUUGAAAUCUCUCCUCAAUAACUUCCUAUGUAAACUUCCUGUGUAUUCCAGGGAAUUUCCCUGUGUAGCACAUGCCUCUUCAGCUGCUACCAAGCAAUCACUAUUAGCCCCAGCAGCACAAGAUUGGUGAAACUUACACCAAGAAUCAUCAAGUGCAUUGGUACCCCCUGCUCAUUCAAUUGAUUCUUUCUAAACAAAUCUGAUUCUAAACAUAACUGCCAUGAGAGUGAAUAGUCCUCAUAAGAGCAGGAACAACACUAACAGAUUCAGUUUUGAAUGCUGUACUAGAUUUCCUUCUGGAACAAUUGCAACUUCACUGUAUUUGAUCCACCUUUGCUUCAUUGAUGGUUGGUGUUUUGGGUCUCAUGACCUUGGAUAGUGUCACCAUGGUGAGCAUCCACUACAAAUACCAGGAACAGGUACAAUAUACUCACAAUGCCUAGUAUUGCCCUAGAGUUUCCCCUAUGUCCAGAGCCACCAAGUCCAUCCUGAUCCUUGUGUGGACUUUUGUCUCCUGCUACUCAGACUUCUCCAUCCUAAUUUUUUAUGUAGUAUUUUGUGAUAAUUCAAGCCUAUUGGCUGUAAAAAUAUUUGUAUUCAAGGAAACAUGUUUCCUUGCUUUCAGUCCCUUUGUUCUCACCAGUUAUAAAA
rnacentral:lncRNA from 1 species